rnacentral:rRNA from 1 species
UACGAAGGGGGCUAGCGUUGUUCGGAUUUACUGGGCGUAAAGCGCACGUAGGCGGAUCGUUAAGUCGGGGGUGAAAUCCUGGAGCUCAACUCCAGAACUGCCUUCGAUACUGGCGAUCUUGAGUCCGGAAGAGGUGAGUGGAACUCCUAGUGUAGAGGUGGAAUUCGUAGAUAUUAGGAAGAACACCAGUGGCGAAGGCGGCUCCCUGGUCCGGUACUGACGCUGAGGUACGAAAGCGUGGGGAGCAAACAGG